UCGCCUGCAUGAAGUCGGAAUUGCUAGUAAUCGCAGAUCAGCAUGCUGCGGUGAAUACGUUCCCGGGCCUUGUACACACCGCCCGUCACACCAUGGGAGUCGGUAACACCCGAAGUCAGGAGCCUGACCUUUUUAGGAGGGCACUGCCGAAGGUGGGAUUGAUGACUGGGGUGAAGUCGUAACAAGGUAGC
rnacentral:rRNA from 1 species